rnacentral:lncRNA from 1 species
ACGGCGAGGCGCUGCGGGGAAGAUGGCGAGGAGGCCGCGGGGGGAGCGCGCAGGAGGAUGGGGCGGGCACAGGGACCCGGGGAGUACUGCAAUCAAGAUGGCUACAGCAGGACUCUACAAAAUGGCUGAUGGGAGCAAUUAUGCAGCUAACUGCUUUCCUGCCAGGAACAUUUUGCGCAACAGGAGAGAGGCUGGGCAUUGCCUGCUGGCACACAUAGCCACCCCACAGGCCUGGGCUGAGCAAGGAAUCACCAGGGAGGCACCAGAGAAGAGGAGGAAGCCUCCAAGUGUUGCCUCUGCAGAAGAAAACGAUGAAGACCAUAUCCUGGAUGAGCCAUUUCUGGUGAGU